AUUGAACGCUGGCGGCAGGCCUAACACAUGCAAGUCGAGCGGAUGAAGGGAGCUUGCUCCUGGAUUCAGCGGCGGACGGGUGAGUAAUGCCUAGGAAUCUGCCUGGUAGUGGGGGAUAACGUCCGGAAACGGGCGCUAAUACCGCAUACGUCCUGAGGGAGAAAGUGGGGGAUCUUCGGACCUCCCGCUAUCAGAUGAGCCUAGGUCGGAUUAGCUAGUUGGUUGGGUAAAGGCCUACCAAGGCGACGAUCCGUAACUGGUCUGAGAGGAUGAUCAGUCACACUGGAACUGAGACACGGUCCAGACUCCUACGGGAGGCAGCAGUGGGGAAUAUUGGACAAUGGGCGAAAGCCUGAUCCAGCCAUGCCGCGUGUGUGAAGAAGGUCUUCGGAUUGUAAAGCACUUUAAGUUGGGAGGAAGGGCAGUAAGUUAAUACCUGGCUGUUUUGACGUUACCAACAGAAUAAGCACCGGCUAACUUCGUG
rnacentral:rRNA from 1 species